CCUACGGGAGGCAGCAGUGAGGAAUAUUGGUCAAUGGACGAGAGCCUGAACCAGCCAAGUAGCGUGAAGGAUGACUGCCCUACGGGUUGUAAACUUCUUUUAUAUGGGAAUAAAAUGUUCCACGUGUGGGAUUUUGUAUGUACCAUAUGAAUAAGGAUCGGCUAACUCCGUGCCAGCAGCCGCGGUAAUACGGAGGAUCCGAGCGUUAUCCGGAUUUAUUGGGUUUAAAGGGAGCGUAGGUGGUUUGUUAAGUCAGUUGUGAAAGUUUGCGGCUCAACCGGAAAAUUGCAGUUGAAACUGGCAGUCUUGAGUACAGUAGAGGUAGGCGGAAUUCGUGGUGUAGCGGUGAAAUGCUUAGAUAUCACGAAGAACUCCGAUUGCGAAGGCAGCUCACUGGACUGCAACUGACGCUGAGGCUCGAAAGUGUGGGUAUCAAACAGGAUUAGAUACCCCGGUAGUC
rnacentral:rRNA from 1 species